rnacentral:lncRNA from 1 species
ACUUAUUCAUCCACUUAUCCAAUCGUAUAUAUUCAAUUUUUUUUAUUCAAAGUGAACAUUGUUUUUGCAUGAACUUUUAUAAACGUUUACGUUUACUAUGCUAUUAUUCGCUCUUUUUAAAAAAAAGUGUAGAUAUACAUAAUAUACCAUAUAUAUUUAUAUGUUUUCUCUUAUUCACAUACUUAUUUACUUACGUAUUUACUUACAAUAAUUAAUUUUUUACGCGUUAACUUUUUUGCCGUAAUAUCCUUACGUAAUGACUAUUUUUUAAACAAAGCUAAACACAUAUAUAUUUAUAUAUAUAUAUAUAUAUAUAUAUAUAACAAAAACAUAUAACAACAUUCUUUUUUUUUUUUUUUUUUUUUUUAACUUAAUAAGAACACUUAAAAAAAAUAUAUUAAAUGCAAUGGAUUUAUACCAUUAGAAAUAGCCUUAAUAUAAUUGAUUUUGUAUAAUACAUAUAUAUAUAUAUAUAUAUAUAUAUAUAUAUAUAAAAUAACCGAAUAAGACCCAUAUAAGUUUACCUUUAAAAUGAGCCAAAAUGGGGAUUAUAAUCAUUUAGCAGAAGAUAACUCCAAUAUUAUUGCUAAUUCUUCUGCUCCCGUAGCCAAUAUGCUUGACGGUAAAAUAAAUGACACAAACGUAAAUGCAAAUAAAAAAGUGUCAGCUAAUAAUGAAACCAAUUCUGAAAAUGUAAAUGGAGAACACUUUUAUUUGAAUGGGGACACAAAUGAAAAUAUACAAACAUUAAAUAAUCAUAUUAAUUUACAAAAACAAAUGCCUAACAUACCAAAUAUUAAUAACAUAUAUAACGAUGUUAAUAAUAACAAUAAACAAAAUGAUUCAAACGCGACAGUUCAUAAUACUCAACAAUAUGAUAAUACUAAUGGUGCUAAUUUGGCUGAUAUGUCAGAAAAUAAAAAAAUGCACCUAUUAAUGUUAAUAAUUUUAUGCCUUCUAUAAACACUUUUUUUACAAAACGUUUUACCCCCUAUGUUACCAACAGUGUCACCAAACAUGUCUAAUAAUGUACAAAAUGCAACACGUGGUAUGCCACCCAAUAUGACAGGCAUACCGGGUAUGCCCCCCCCUCCUCAUCUUCUUAACAUGCCGUUUAAUUUACCACCAAAUAUGACUCAUCUACCACCGAACAUGGCUCAUCUACCACCGAACAUGGCU